UAUUGCACACUGGGGGAAACCCUGAUGCAGCGACGCCGCGUGAAGGAAGAAGUAUUUCGGUAUGCAAACUUCUAUCAGCAGGGACGAAGAUCACGGUACCUGCGUAAGAAGCACCGGCUAACUACGUGCCAGCAGCCGCGGUAAUACGUAUGGUGCAAGCGUUAUCCGGAUUUACUGGGUGUAAAGGGAGCGUAGACGGAUAGGCAAGUCUGGAGUGAAAACCCAGGGCUCAACCCUGGGACUGCUUUGGAAACUGCAGAUCUGGAGUGCCGGAGAGGUAAGCGGAAUUCCUAGUGUAGCGGUGAAAUGCGUAGAUAUUAAGAGGAACACCAGUGGCGAAGGCGGCUUACUGGACGGUGACUGACGUUGAGGCUCGAAAGCGUGGGGAGCAAACAGG
rnacentral:rRNA from 1 species